rnacentral:rRNA from 1 species
AUGCACGCUGGCGGCGUGCCUAAUACAUGCAAGUCGCGCGAACAGACGAGGAGCUUGCUCCUCUGACGUUAGCGGCGGACGGGUGAGUAACACGUGGAUAACCUACCUAUAAGACUGGGAUAACUUCGGGAAACCGGAGCUAAUACCGGAUAAUUUAUUGAACCGCAUGGUUCAAUAGUGAAAGACGGUUUUGCUGUCACUUAUAGAUGGAUCCGCGCCGCAUUAGCUAGUUGGUAAGGUAACGGCUUACCAAGGCAACGAUGCGUAGCCGACCUGAGAGGGUGAUCGGCCACACUGGAACUGAGACACGGUCCAGACUCCUACGGGAGGCAGCAGUAGGGAAUCUUCCGCAAUGGGCGAAAGCUUGACGGAGCAACGCCGCGUGAGUGAUGAAGGUCUUCGGAUCGUAAAACUCUGUUAUUAGGGAAGAACAAAUGUGUAAGUAACUAUGCACGUCUUGACGGUACCUAAUCAGAAAGCCACGGCUAACUACGUG